rnacentral:rRNA from 1 species
GAACGCUGGCGGUGCGCCUUAUGCAUGCAAGUCGAGCGAAGCUUUUCAGUAGUUUACUACAGAAAAUGACUGAGCGGCGAACGGGUGAGUAACGCGUGAGCAAUCUACCUUAGUUACAGGGAUAGCCCGAGGAAACUCGGAUUAAUACCUGAUAUUCUUUACAUUUCGCAUGAAAUCAAAAGGAAAGGUCAGCCGAACUAAGAUGAGCUCGCGUUCUAUCAGCUAGUUGGUGAGGUAAAAGCUCACCAAGGCAACGACGGAUAGCUGGUCUGAGAGGACGAUCAGCCACACUGGGACUGAGACACGGCCCAGACUCCUACGGGAGGCUGCAGCAGGGAAUAUUGCGCAAUGAGCGAAAGCUUGACGCAGCGACACCGCGUGUGGGAUGACGGAUCUAGGUUUGUAAACCACUUUCAGGAGGGAAGAAAAUGACGGUACCUCCACAAGAAGCCCCGG